rnacentral:rRNA from 1 species
UAUGUAGGUGGCAAGCGUUAUCCGGAAUUACUGGGCGUAAAGCGCACGCAGGCGGUCUGUUAAGUUUGACGUGAAAGCUCCCGGCUUAACUGGGAGAGGUCGUUGAAGACUGGCAGACUUGAGGCGAUGAGAGGGGUGUAGAAUUCCCGGUGUAGUGGUGGAAUGCGUAGGUAUCGGGGGGAAUACCAGUGGCGAAAGCGGCACCCUAGCGUUAGCCUGACGCGUCA